rnacentral:rRNA from 1 species
AUGUGGCAAAUCAAGGAGCUUCAACUACAAUCAACAACGUUGCAUGAACAUCUAUUGCGGGAACCUCAGAGCACACGGAAAGGGCGUUCCACGAACAAGUCACCGAUGUUGCCACAAACAAUGCAAAAACAGUGUCAGAAACUGGCAACCGUUGGAGCAAUGACGACAAGCACGCCUGUGCACGCCAGCACAAGCAACACUCGAGCACAUGAAACAGCCGCCAAUACUGAAGUGAAUGAUGAAACUGAUGACGAAACGCAAGGGGGAGAAGAAAAUGGACAAUCGGAAAUUGUGCCACCUCAACCACCAUAUGCUGGGCAGAGAUUUGGUUCGUUUGAAGAUGCCAAGGAAUACUACCAGAGAUAUGCAUUGUUCCAUGGAUUUGCGGUGAACACAAAAUGCCAUAGGAAAAUAAAAAAACUAACGAGUGCAGUAGAGGUGAGAUAA